rnacentral:tRNA from 1 species
GCGGCUAUGCUGGAAUUGGUAGACAGGCUUGGUUGAGGGCCAAGUGGGGUUUCCCCAGUGAGAGUUCGAGUCUCUCUAGCCGCACCA